rnacentral:misc_RNA from 2 species
CUAAGGAAAUAGUUCAUCUAAGAUGAACGUUACGGAAACUACACAGGCUUGCUUUUAUUCGUUCAGUUUUGAGAGGUCUACUCUCAAAAAUCGUUCAUUGAAAACUGGAUACAGAAACACAUUUUUUUAAACAAACCGAGAACACCGCGUUGAAUGAGUUUUUUAAUAAGUUCAAUUGCUUAUUUAUUACUAAGGAACAUGAUCGCUCAUGGGAAUUAGUAAGACCCUUGACGAAAGUCAAGAUAA